rnacentral:rRNA from 1 species
AUUGAACGCUGGCGGCAUGCCUUACAUAUGCAAGUCGAACGGUAACAGGUUAAGCUGACGAGUGGCGAACGGGUGAGUAAUAUAUCGGAACGUGCCCAAUCGUGGGGGAUAACGCAGCGAAAGUUGUGCUAAUACCGCAUAAGAUCUACGGAUGAAAGCGGGGGAUCGCAAGACCUCGCGCGAGUGGAGCGGCCGAUAUCAGAUUAGCUAGUUGGUGGGGUAAAGGCCCACCAAGGCGACGAUCUGUAGCUGGUCUGAGAGGACGACCAGCCACACUGGGACUGAGACACGGCCCAGACUCCUACGGGAGGCAGCAGUGGGGAAUUUUGGACAAUGGGCGCAAGCCUGAUCCAGCAAUGCCGCGUGCAGGAUGAAGGCCUUCGGGUUGUAAACUGCUUUUGUACGGAGCGAAAAAGCUCUCUCUAAUACAGAGGGCUCAUGACGGUACCGUAAGAAUAAGCACCGGCUAACUACGUGCCAGCCGCCGCGGUAA